AUUGAACGCUGGCGGCAUGCCUUACACAUGCAAGUCGAACGGCAGCACGGGAGCAAUCCUGGUGGCGAGUGGCGAACGGGUGAGUAAUAUAUCGGAACGUGCCUAGUCGUGGGGAUAACGUAGCGAAAGCUACGCUAAUACCGCAUACGAUCUAUGGAUGAAAGCGGGGGAUCGCAAGACCUCGCGCGAUUGGAGCGGCCGAUAUCAGAUUAGGUAGUUGGUGAGGCAAAGGCUCACCAAGCCGACGAUCUGUAGCUGGUCUGAGAGGACGACCAGCCACACUGGGACUGAGACACGGCCCAGACUCCUACGGGAGGCAGCAGUGGGGAAUUUUUGGACAAUGGGCGCAAGCCUGAUCCAGCAAUGCCGCGUGCAGGAUGAAGGCCUCGGUUGUAAC
rnacentral:rRNA from 1 species